rnacentral:tRNA from 1 species
GCGGCGGAGCCGUGAGGGAGGGCGGCCUCGCCCCGGGGGCGGGGCUCCGGGUUCGGCCCCGGCCGCCGCUC